rnacentral:misc_RNA from 1 species
UUGGGGUUGUCCGUGGGAGAGGGGCUCGGCCUACAGCCACCAUGGCUGGGCGCUACGGCGUCGAGCAGAUCCCUGCGCGCUUGCGCCCUUGGAGUAGGGGACUGGACACCCAUGGGAGAGAGGGCAGAGUUACUGCGUUCCAGGGAUCCAAGCGCCAGGGGGGUGAGCUCGGGCUUGAGCCAUGGAGCAGGGAGGGCGCUGCUUGGGGGCUUGGCUGGGGGAGAGAAGAGCUCCUGCUCCUGCGGCAAGGCACACAGGGAGGAAAAAGGCCGGCGUCGAGCACCUCGCUGGUUUGCUGCGUCGAGGGGGAGCGAGUGGAGGGAGGCGCUGGGAGAAAAGACAGCCGGUUGGGGGAGCUCGGCUGCCGGAUUUUCUGGACGCCAUGGCUGGGAGCUUGACUGCUCGAGCUUCACCGGCGCCAUGGAUCCAGAGAGCUGUUGCGCGAUGGCGAGGCCGAGCUGGGAGAUGCAGCGUGCGCGAGGAAGAAGGGGCAGGGGCAGGGGCCACCGCGCCCUGGCUGGCCGAGAGGAGGAGCAGGCCUGGGCGCCAUGGGAGGAAGGGAGCCGAGCUCCCUGCGCGCUGGCUGUGUGCAUGGGAGAAGAAGACAGAGAGAAGAGAGAGUGGCGGCUAGGGAAAAUGCAGGGGUGGGAGUGA